rnacentral:rRNA from 1 species
UACGUAGGGUGCAAGCGUUUAAUCGGAAUUACUGGGCGUAAAGCGUGCGCAGGCGGUGAUGUAAGACAGUUGUGAAAUCCCCCGGGCUCAACCUGGGAACUGCAUCUGUGACUGCAUCGCUGGAGUGCGGCAGAGGGGGAUGGAAUUCCGCGUGUAGCAGUGAAAUGCGUAGAUAUGCGGAGGAACACCGAUGGCGAAGGCAAUCCCCUGGACCUGUACUGACGCUCAUGCACGAAAGC